UGUUCAUAUAAUACUGCCAGUUGACUGUCAAUACUGAAAAUCUAGUUCCCGUUACAUAUACUAAUAACUGAUUUCCAUUUG